AUGAUUACAGCACACUUCCUGCAUGUGCCUUCCAUGUGGCUCCAGUGUCAGCCUCACAAACGCAGACAAAUCUGGGCUGCUCUCCUGGAGGAUGAAAUGCUAUGUGAAGAGAAGCCUCAGCCAUUCCAGACAUUCGAACCAUCCCACCUGACACCUCAGACAUAUGAGAAUGAGCCAGACCCUCCAAAGAAGCUUGGAAAGAAAACAGAACAUGAUGGAGGACAAUGGCCAGUGAUCUAGUGCUGGAAUCAGGAAGACUCAGAAAAAGGUUGUAGAGUUUGGAGGGGCUGGAGGAUGUUGAGAGAUCUUCACCUUCUCAGAUUCCCAGCCUGGAAGACACGCCUCCUCGGCCUGUGGCUCUAGAGAGCAGGGGCUUGGGGAAUCCUGGAGAAGUCCUUCUUCCCCUUUCCCACUCCCGCUCUCCUUUCCUAUCUGCUCUGUGUGUUCUCUGCUGUCCUAUCCCACAGAGCUCUGUGGGAAAAAACACUACAUCAACAACAACAAGAUAAUAAAGGACAUGUCAAUGAGAGAACA
rnacentral:lncRNA from 1 species